GUAGUUGUGGCCAAGUGGUUAAGGUGAAGGACUAGAAAUCCAUUGGGGUCUCUUUGCACAGGUUUGAAUCCUGUCAACUACA
rfam:Chelonia mydas contig152500, whole genome shotgun sequence.